UACGUAGGGUGCAAGCGUUUAUCCGGAAUUAUUGGGCGUAAAGAGCUCGUAGGCGGUUUGUCGCGUCUGCUGUGAAAACUGGGGGCUCAACCCCCAGCCUGCAGUGGGUACGGGCAGACUAGAGUGCGGUAGGGGAGAUUGGAAUUCCUGGUGUAGCGGUGGAAUGCGCAGAUAUCAGGAGGAACACCGAUGGCGAAGGCAGAUCUCUGGGCCGUAACUGACGCUGAG
rnacentral:rRNA from 1 species